AUGCAUGCCGAACCACAUAAUUAGUAUAAAUUGAGCGUGGAUCAUACCCGGGGUGUGUCCUUUUCUUGUACAAUAGAUGAUAUGAAAAUCUUGGGUGAUUUUCAAUUGAAAUGACGAAUGGUUCUUGCUAUCAAUAAAAUCACUCGAUGUAUAGGCUGAAGGAGGAGGACUCGCCACCGUCCGUCCGCCUUCGACAGAUCACAGGAGGAGUUCACCCAUCUGAAAGUGAAAACGAACAGCUCUUCUACACCUAAGCUGCGCCACCCUAUGUUUGUACACUAAUUUGUAUAUCAAGGAUUGAGAUCCAGCCCUAAAUGAUCUUAUUUCAUUUCAGCUAUAAGCAGAAAGCCUACUCAAGAAGCUGCUGUUGCAAGAACCAUGCAUCUUCCUCGUUCCACAAGCUCUCCAACGAGUCUUCUCCGACUAAACAACCGUUGCUGUCUUCUUGCUCUCCGGCAUCCACGCCCGGUUGCCACCACUGCGCACACCCGGUCCAAUAAUUCGGACCAUCACCCAAUCCGAGCCCGAAACAUUCCGAGCCAAUUCCACCGGCUUGAUUAGGAGAAGGUGAACUGCUAAACCGAGGGUCCGAAGAGUCGGACGAGGACACGCUCGGCGAUAGUUCGGGCAACGAGUCUCUGUGAUCAUCAUAAACCGGAUAUCCCGACCCGAUUCCGUGAGUUCGUGGAGGGUCCUCA
rnacentral:lncRNA from 1 species